AUCUUGGUGUCGGGCGACCUGCUUCCGGCUUGUAGCCUACGCGAUGGUCUCAGGGAUCUUCGCGAGCCGAGCACCAAACAUUUCAGAUGAAGAAAGUCCUGGAAGAGAAACAUUUUGCUAAUAUGGAAGAGGUGAAACAAACGAACGAACAAACAAAAACAGCAGAAGCACCAAAAGGUGCACAAAAGGCCAAUAGGACAGAGAAGUAAGGGGAUUUAGGAUGAAUGAAAAGGAGGCCAAUUUGACUCAUCCAGACACUCCAAUACGGAUGCCCUACAGUUAACCAACCACUCCUUCCUCUUUUCCUUGUCCUCUCCCUCCCUGUGUGUGUCGGCUCCUUGGAGAGGUGCGCUUACAGAUGUUGGAAUCCUCGCUUAAGGACUUCUCAGUGGGAUCGAAUUCCCCCGCCCCUUGGAUCUGGAGGGGCCUGUGACUCCCACGUGACCAACAGAAUGUAGCAGUUUGUGACAUGAUCCUGUAUGACUUCCAAGGCCACACUACGUAGGCUUUACCCUUUUGCUUGAAGAUUCAUACGGGAUCCCUGAGUCCCAAAGCAGUUGGACUGUGCAGAGGCUGCCGUGCUCAGAGGAAGGUCACACCAGCUUGCACAGAGCGCCCCGACGCGACGACAUGAAAGGCGAUGCCCGCCGUCACCAGCGGAUCCCAGCCUCACGCUGUUCCAGCUUCAGAGCCCCUGGCAGGCUGCUGCCUGCGAGGCCAGAGCCAGAGAGGCCCGGCUGGAGCUCUCCCCGAAUGCCUGGCCCCCAGAAACAGAGAUUAAAAGUGUGUUGUUGCUUUAAGUCACUAUGUUUUGUGUGACUUCUGAGAGAAUAGAUAACUUUAUUUUGUAUGAAAUUCCUUUAAUCUAAGGAAGAUAUUUUAAUAAAUUUUAAUAAAUCAG